rnacentral:rRNA from 1 species
ACGGAAGGCAGCAGUGGGGAAUAUUGGGCAAUGGGCGAAAGCCUGACCCAGCAACGCCGCGUGAGGGAAGAAGGGUUUCGGCUCGUAAACCUCUGUCCUAUGGGACGAAGGAAUGACGGUACCAUAGGAGGAAGCCCCGGCUAACUACGUGCCAGCAGCCGCGGUAAUACGUAGGGGGCGAGCGUUGUCCGGAAUGAUUGGGCGUAAAGGGCGUGUAGGCGGCCUGUUAAGUCUGGAGUGAAAGUCCCGCUUUCAAGGUGGGAAUUGCUUUGGAUACUGAUGGGCUUGAGUGCAGGAGAGGAAAGCGGAAUUACCGGUGUAGCGGUGAAAUGCGUAGAGAUUGGGAGGAACACCAGUGGCGAAGGCGACUAACUGGACUGUAACUGACGCUGAGGCGCGAAAGUGUGGGGAGCAAACAGGAUUAGAUACCCUGGUA